GGCCCCGUAGCUCAGCCUGGAUAGAGCACCGGCCUUCUAAGCCGGGGGUCGUGGGUUCAAAUCCCACCGGGGCCGCCA
rnacentral:tRNA from 1 species